rnacentral:rRNA from 1 species
ACCAGUCGAUGCUGCUGGAGGACACUACUAUCAGAUUUCGAUAUUCACGCAAGUCUGCUCACCGGCUUCGGUGGGCGGCGUACGGCUCAGUAACGCGUGGUCAAUCUACCACAGUGAAGCGAAUAACCUCGGGAAACUGAGGCUAAUGCGCUAUAGGCUAGGGUUUCUGGAAGGAGCCAUAGCCCAAAGGAUGUGCAAAAUGUAGCACUUCCGCACUGCGAUGAGACCGCGUCAGAUCAGGCAGAUGGCGGGGUAACGGCCCACCAUACCUUUGACCUGUAGGGGAUGUGAGAGCAAGAGCCCCGAGAAGGGCACUGAGACAAGGGCCCUAGUGCUACGGCGCGUAGCGGGAACGCAACCUCCACAAUGCACGAAAGUGUGAUGGGGGGAGUCUGAGUGGCAACCUUCGGGUUGCCUUUUAACGAGUCUAAAUAGCUCGUAGAAUAAGUGCUGGGUAAGACCGGUGGCAGCCGCCACGGUAAUACCGGCGGCACGAGCGGUGUCCGCGAUUAUUGGGCUUAAAGGGCCAGUAGCCGGCUAGAACAGUCCUACGUAAAAUGUUGGCGCUCAACGCCAACGCGGGCGUAGGAUACCUUCUGGCUAGGGAGCGGGAGAGAUCAGGGGUACUUAUGGGGUAGGGGUAAAAUCCUGUAAUCCUAUAAGGACCACCGGUGGCGAAGGCGCCUGAUCAGAACGCAUCCGACGGUGAGUGGCGAAGGCUAGGAGAACGAAUCGGAUUAGAUACCCGAGUAGCCCUAGCAGUAAAUUAUGCAGACUCAGGUGUUGCGCCGACCACGUGUCGGUGCAGUACCGUAGGGCAACUGAUAAGUCUGCCGCCUGGGGAGUACGGCCGCAAGGUUGAAACUUAAAGCAAUUGGCGGGGGAGCACCACAAGGGGUGGAUGCUGCGGUUUAAUUGAAUUCAACGUCAGAAAUAUUACCUGGAGCGACGGCAGGAUGAAGGUCAGACUAAAGAUCUUGCCUUACGAGCCGAGAGGUGGUGCAUGGCCAUCGUCAGCUCGUGCUGUGAAGUGUCAGGUUAAGUCCUGUAACGAGCGAGACCCUCGCUGACAGUUGCCACCGGUCAAGAGAUUGGCCGAGCACUCUGUCGGGACCGCCUCCGUUUAAGGAGGAGGAAGGAGAGGGCGACGGUAGGUCAGUAUGCCCCGAAUCUUCAGGGCUACACGCGGCAUACAGAGACUGCUACAAUGGGUUGCGACCCCGAAAGGGGAAGCUAAUCCCCUAAAAGCAGCCAAAGUUCGGAUUGAGGGCUGCAACUCGCCCUCAUGAAGCUGGAAUCCCUAGUAAUCGCUUGUCACUAUCGAGCGGUGAAUGUGUCCCCGCUCCUUGCACACACCGCCUGCCAGAUCAUCCAAGUGAGGUCUUGGUGAGGCAGCGCC